rnacentral:rRNA from 1 species
CGCGUAGGUGGUUAUUUAAGUCAGAUGUGAAAUCCCUGGGCUUAACCUAGGAAUUGCAUUUGAAACUAGAUGGCUAGAGUAUGGUAGAGGGAAGUGGAAUUUCCGGUGUAGCGGUGAAAUGCGUAGAUAUCGGAAGGAACACCAGUGGCGAAGGCGACUUCCUGGACCAUUACUGACACUGAGGCGCGAAAGCGUGGGGAGCGAACA